UUUUUUUUAAAUAUUUAUUUAUUUGAGAGGUAGAGUCACAGGGGGAGAGACAAAUAGAAAGGUUUUGCAUCCGCUGAUUCACUCUCCAAAUGUCUGCAACAGCCAGAGCUGGACCAAUCUGAAGCCAGGAGUCAAGAGCUUCUUCCGGGUCUCCCAUGCAGGUGCAGGGGCCCAAGCACUUGGGCCAUCUUUUACUGUUUUCCCAGGCCAUCAGCAGGGAGUUGGAUCAAAAGUGGAGCAGCUGGGACUCAAACUGGCACCCAGGUGGGAUGACGACACCACAGGCAGAUGCUUAGCCUAGUAUGCCACAGCGCCAGCCUGGUAAAUCACACUUGAUCUUAGCCAAAAGGUCAAGAAGUGAUGGUGGUAAAUCAUUCUUAACAUUGGCUUCAUUCCUUGAACAUUUUCCCAUCAUGUGGUGGGUAUGAAUUGCAGAGAGGGAAGCCCUGCCUAUUCUUGGUACAAAGAUCACUUAGGGACUUCAAAGUCUGUUGAAAAAAAAAUUGCAGUAGGCAUGAUACCUUCUGGUAUUUGUGAGUAAUGUUCACCAAGAAUACAUUAAGUAUGUUAGGGGCCCACACUGUGGUAUAGUGGGUUAAGCCACAGGCUGAGGCACCAACAGUCCGUGUGGGCUCCUGUUAGAGUCUUGGCUGCUCCACUUGCAAUCCAGAUCCCUGCUGGUGUACCUGGGAUGGCAAGCAGAAACCAGCCCAAGUGCUUGGGCCCUUUCACCCAUAUGUGAGGCCCCAAUGAAAAUCCUGGUUGUUGGCUUCAGCCUGGCCCAGCCCUGGUUGUUGUGGCCAUUUGGGGAGUGAACCAGCAGAUGGAAGGUCUCUCUCAUUCUCUCUUCCUCUCUCACUUUCUCUCCUUCUUUCCCUCUGUAACUCUGAAUUUCAAAUAAAUAAAUCUUUGAAAAAAAAGUUAGCUUCUAUGAUCAAAUUAAUCUUGAACAAAGGAUGAGACUUGAAUAGGGUGUGUAAAAAGCAGUAAAGGGGCUGGCACUGUGAUGUAGUGGGUAAAGCUGCCACCUGUGGCACCAGCAUCCCAUGUGAUCUCUCUCUGUCUCUCCUUCUCUCUCUCACUGUAACUCUGCCUUUCAAAUAAAUAAUCUUUAAAAAAGUAGGUAGAGUAAUAUUGCAGUCACAUGUCCAACAUAAAAGUCACCAUCAGCAUUACUAUUCAUUAUUGGCCUAUAUCUCUGUGGGAGGGACAUCAGGAAGUGCUCAGUAUUCAGGGCUUUCUUAUUUAAACUUUUUAUUUCACGAUACUUUUACAUUCAUAAAAUGAAAAUUGUAAAGUCGUACGCGGUUUUCAUAAGCCCUGCAUCCAGCUUCCCCCAUUAUUAACAUCUUACAUUAGUAUGUUUUUGUCACAAUUAAAGCAUCACAUCCAGUUUCUCCUAUCUUUUUAAAAUCCAAACUCCCUCCAUCCCUUUCACCCCUCCCAAUCUCUAGUGAUACUCUGUGUUUAAUCUAUUUUUAGUGCUUCCAUGUGAGGGCUAGCAUGUGGUAUUUGUCCUCUGAAAUGAUUUCUUACUACCUUACUGCCAGUGAAGCAUGUUACUUGUGGCCUGGUGACUUUCUGUAAAAACUAAAAAAAUUGUGACAUUAAAAAAAAUUGAACUAGUGCAAAAACAUAGUAAAAGCUUUAAAAACUUUGUGACAUUAAAACAUUUAAAUAUUCUAAAAAUAUUUAAAAGUGUAAGGGAGGAGAUGAAAGCCACUUAAAGAGCUGCCACCUUGAAAUAACAACCAUUAACAUUUUGAACAGGGUGUAUGUAUGCUGUAAAGUAUGCUGCAAAUUUUACUUAGAUGAUAUAUAAUACAUGUUGGGUCUUUGACACCUGAAAUCUUUGUUUUUAUGUCUUCCUUCUCCCUUGUCAUUAUUAACCAUGGAGUGUGCAUCCCUGUGUAUAUAUAUAAAUACAAGUAAUCGAACAUCAACUCAAAUUAUCGGGCAUUUUUAACUCAUUGUUUUACAAAGUGGAAUUCAUUAUAUGUUGCCUAUAUCAGUUGGUGUAUUGUGGUAAUUCAAGUUAAAGGGUUAAAGCUAAAUCAUUCUUUUAAAUGGCUAUAAACCAUGUCAGGUCAUGAAUGGACCACCAUGUAUUCAUUCAUUCUCCCAUGGAUGACUAUUCCUUUUACUUUCAGCUUUUGCCUCCACAAAACAAGGCCGCAAUCCAUUUUAUUUAUUUAUUUUUUACAUCUUUAUAUUUACAGGUGGGAUCUUUAUUCUAGGGGAAAGAUUCACAGAAGUGAGAUUUACUGUCCUGCUCCGACUUUGGGCUGGAGAGGCAAUUCACCAAAAUGGAACUGGGUUACUUUCUGAAAAGGGGUAGGAGCGAGAAAACUAAUGACAACAUAAGGUCAGAGUUUAGUGUGGUUCAGGAAAUGAUGAGGCCGUUACCCCCACAACACUUCAGCAGAGGGAGCCCUUCCUUGAGCUGUCCUCUGUUAGCCCUCAAGAACCCCUCCCAGAGGCCCGAAGCCACAGACCUGUUCUCCAUGAAUAAAUUAGAGUAAAAUUAAAAAGCAAAAACAAAGACAGUGAAUGUUUUGAAGUCUCCUUACAUCACAGCCUCCCUCUGAAGAGGAAGACAUCAUAAGGACAUCCCUCGGAUGUUUUCUGAGCUGCCAUCCUUGGGAACCUUACUGAGCAGCAGAAAAUUGAACAGACUUUCAAAGGAGUCAAAGUGCCAGGACAUCCUUUUGUCAAUUCUUGCACAGAUCAGCUCUAUUUAGCUCCUUUCUCAUGUACUCUUAGAGUGUACAAAGUGAAGGAGCAGUGGAGCUAUGUUUCACAUGGAGAUCAUAUUCUGAUAUUAGAACAUAAAGCAAAUGUAAUAUAUGAGGGGUAUUCAAAAAGUUCACAGAAAAUGCAUGUUGUAAAAAAUUAUGCAUGCAUUUCAGUUUUUUGGAUCAAAAUAAAUUCCCUUUUAAUCCCAUUUUCCCAAGAGUGUUAUGAAGUAACCUCAAAUGGUCACAAAUAAUAUUGAAAAAUCUAUUACUUCACUGAUAAAAGAUAAUACUUAUUGAUGGAACAAAGACAUAAACCUCAGCCAUUCUCAUUUACUGCCCAAAAAGAUAGAUAAAAAUUGGAAUGUAUUCCUUGCCCUUGAAUCUCAAUUGUGUCUCACACCCUAUCAUUUUCAUACCCCACCCCCCACAGCCAGCUGAAAGACCAGUCCCAGGAACCCCCCUCUGCUUGCUGCCCCCUACCCUACCCCCACCCCUAGCUCUCAUGAAAUAUAAAAAAGCCCGGCCCCUGGGGUUCUGGGCUUUCUGCCAUGUGUCCAUCAAUGUGCAUGUGGGCAGUUGGUCACCCACCUUUGUGGAUUUAUUUUCUCUGAAUAAAUUCAGUCUGACUGUAAAUUUGAACAUGGCCUCCACUCUAUUCUGCACCUCUUUUCCUAACAUUUAUGGUGCCCCAUGUGAGGAGGCACCACUCUGUAACUCUUUUUCCUAACACUUAUGCUUUGGGGUAUACAGUUUUGUACCAUAAACCAUCUAGAACUAUAUAAAGCAUGACAUAAUGUAUAGCAUAAAACUCUGUAAAAGGCUCAUACUCAGAAACCGAAUUGGGUUUUACUUUAUGCUGUCUGAAUUUUGUGUUCCUCUCUUUGUAUUUCCCUUUAUUGCCUAUGAUUUUUUCCCCUAAAUUUUGUUCAAUUCUUCACUUUUCAUUUCUUGAAUGAAAUCAAGUCCACCCACUCAUCUAGAAUCCUAGUCAAAUUCUUCCACUUCUCUUUCAUUGGUCAGGAAAUUUAAAAAAUUUAUUUAUUUGUUUGAAAGGCAGUGUUGAGAAACAGAGAGAUAGAGAUAGAGAGAUAGAGAGAGAGAUAGAGAGAGAGAGAGAGUUAGAUCACUACCCAAAUGGCUGCAGGGACUGAGGCUGGGUGAGCCAAAACUAGGAGCCUGGAAUGCCAUCCAGGUCUCCCUCAUGGGUGCAGGAGCUCAAGUUCAUACGUGUCCAGGCAGGCAUCACAGGUCUGUCUUUUUUGUGUAUGUGAAAAGCAAGUUCAAUGUAAUAUUGAGUGGGGAACAUUGGAAAAGAGGUCAAGGCAUGGCACUGGCAUAUAAAGAGAUGCUUGUAAGAGGUAAAGGUGAUAAUCACAUUUAUUAUCCCAGAGGUAAAGAUUUAGACCAAUCAGUUCUUGGAGAGAUUUUUCCUGCUUAGUUAUAGUUGUAUUUUUAGAGCAGUUUCUUAGAAACAAAUUUACAAUGAUAAAUCUUGAGUAUAAGAUUGAUAGUAUAACAUUCUCAAUAAGUUUUUUAGGUUUUCAUAUAUUUAUUUUGUUUAUUAAUUACAAAUACCAUUUUAUGAAAUUAUUUGAGCCCAUAUAAAGUAAGCUGUAAAAUGAAGGAGAAAAAAAAACAAACUGAGUAGCUAAAAUAUUUAAAAAAAUUAAAAUGCUUUCAUAACUCAAACAAAUUAUGGAGCUCUUAAGGGAGAAUCAUGUGGCUUAGGUACUCUUUACUUGGAAACUCAUACACUAGUAAAAAGAAAAAGGGAUUUAAAACCUAGAACUCUAUAUUGGUAGAAAAACAGCUUGUUAUCUUGCAACUUGCAUG